UACGAGGGGGGCAAGCGUUGUUCGGAAUUAUUGGGCGUAAAGGGCGCGUAGGCGGUGCGGUAAGUCACCUGUGAAACCUCUAGGCUUAACCUAGAGCCUGCAGGCGAAACUGCCGUGCUUGAGGGUGGGAGAGGUGCGUGGAAUUCCCGGUGUAGCGGUGAAAUGCGUAGAUAUCAGGAGGAACACCAAUGGCGAAGGCAGCUCGCUGGGACGGUACUGACGCUGAGGCGCGAAAGCGUGGGGAGCAAACAGG
rnacentral:rRNA from 1 species